rnacentral:rRNA from 1 species
CACGUGGUAUCCUGUCUGAAUAUGGGGGGACCAUCCUCCAAGGCUAAAUACUCCUGACUGACCGAUAGUGAACCAGUACCGUGAGGGAAAGGCGAAAAGAACCCCGGCGAGGGGAGUGAAAAAGAACCUGAAACCGUGUACGUACAAGCAGUGGGAGCACAGGUUUACCUGUGUGACUGCGUACCUUUUGUAUAAUGGGUCAGCGACUUAUAUUCUGUAGCAAGGUUAACCGAAUAGGGGAGCCGCAGGGAAACCGAGUCUUAACCGGGCGUUAAGUUGCAGGGUAUAGACCCGAAACCCGGUGAUCUAGCCAUGGGCAGGUUGAAGGUUGGGUAACACUAACUGGAGGACCGAACCGACUAAUGUUGAAAAAUUAGCGGAUGACCUGUGGCUGGGGGUGAAAGGCCAAUCAAACCGGGAGAUAGCUGGUUCUCCCCGAAAGCUAUUUAGGUAGCGCCUCGUGAACUCAUCUCCGGGGGUAGAGCACUGUUUCGGCUAGGGGGUCAUCCCGACUUACCAACCCGAUGCAAACUGCGAAUACCGGAGAAUGUUAUCACGGGAGACACACGGCGGGUGCUAACGUCCGUCGUGAAGAGGGAAACAACCCAGACCGCCAGCUAAGGUCCCAAAGUCAUGGUUAAGUGGGAAACGAUGUGGGAAGGCCCAGACAGCCAGGAUGUUGGCUUAGAAGCAGCCAUCAUUUAAAGAAAGCGUAAUAGCUCACUGGUCGAGUCGGCCUGCGCGGAAGAUGUAACGGGGCUAAACCAUGCACCGAAGCUGCGGCAGCGAC